UAAAUGUAACCAUUUACGUCUAUGGCUGUGGUGGAGAUGGCUGGCUGUUCACUGAAGAUGUGUGCUCCUCUCCCAAGGGGCUGAAUCUAUGUGCCACAAGUGUGAGCAAAGCCGUGAAAAAAAAUGGGAACUCUCUCAAGGACUAACAAUCAGAGCUGCCUAGUUGACGAGAGAGGUUUGGUUUCAAGAAGACCCUGAAGCAAGGAUUCUAAAUCAAAGAUUCAGGGCAAUCUGAGUUUGCAUUAAAGAUCCCUAUGCCUAUA